rnacentral:rRNA from 1 species
AGAGUUUGAUCAUGGCUCAGGAUGAACGCUAGCUACAGGCUUAACACAUGCAAGUCGAGGGGCAGCAUGAAGGAAGCUUGCUUCCUUUGAUGGCGACCGGCGCACGGGUGAGUAACGCGUAUCCAACCUUCCCCUGACUCCGGAAUAGCCCGGUGAAAACCGGAUUAAUGCCGGAUGCGGUCCGGAGAGGACAUCUGACCUGGACCAAAGGCUUGCCGGUCAGGGAUGGGGAUGCGUCUGAUUAGGUUGUUGGCGGGGUAACGGCCCACCAAGCCAUCGAUCAGUAGGGGUUCUGAGAGGAAGGUCCCCCACAUUGGAACUGAGACACGGUCCAAACUCCUACGGGAGGCAGCAGUGAGGAAUAUUGGUCAAUGGGCGAGAGCCUGAACCAGCCAAGUAGCGUGGAGGAUGACGGCCCUACGGGUUGUAAACUCCUUUUAUCAGGGGAUAAAGUGCCCUACGUGUAGGGCUUUGCAGGUACCUGAUGAAUAAGGACCGGCUAAUUCCGUGCCAGCAGCCGCGGUAAUACGGAAGGUCCGGGCGUUAUCCGGAUUUACUGGGUUUAAAGGGAGCGCAGACGGGCUGUUAAGCGUGACGUGAAAUCCGGGGGCUCAACCUUCGGCUGCGUCGCGAACUGGCGGCCUUGAGUGGACGGUAGGCAGGCGGAAUUCGUGGUGUAGCGGUGAAAUGCUUAGAUAUCACGAAGAACCCCGAUUGCGAAGGCAGCUUGCCGCAGUCUUACUGACGUUCAUGCUCGAAGGUGCGGGUAUCGAACAGGAUUAGAUACCCUGGUAGUCCGCACGGUAAACGAUGGAUGCCCGCUGUUGGCGACACACAGUCAGCGGCCAAGCGAAAGCAUUAAGCAUCCCACCUGGGGAGUACGCCGGCAACGGUGAAACUCAAAGGAAUUGACGGGGGCCCGCACAAGCGGAGGAACAUGUGGUUUAAUUCGAUGAUACGCGAGGAACCUUACCCGGGCUUGAACUGCAGGAGAACGAUUCAGAGAUGAUGAGGUCCUUCGGGACUCCUGUGGAGGUGCUGCAUGGUUGUCGUCAGCUCGUGCCGUGAGGUGUCGGCUUAAGUGCCAUAACGAGCGCAACCCCUUUCUUCAGUUGCCAUCGGGUCGUGCCGGGCACUCUGGAGACACUGCCACCGCAAGGUGUGAGGAAGGUGGGGACGACGUCAAAUCAGCACGGCCCUUACGUCCGGGGCUACACACGUGUUACAAUGGGUGGUACAGAGAGAUAGUGCUGCGCAAGCCGCAUUGAAUCAUGAAAUCCAUCCUCAGUUCGGAUUGGGGUCUGCAACCCGACCCCAUGAAGCUGGAUUCGCUAGUAAUCGCGCAUCAGCCAUGGCGCGGUGAAUACGUUCCCGGGCCUUGUACACACCGCCCGUCAAGCCAUGAAAGCCGGGGGCGCCUGAAGUCCGUGACCGCGAGGAUCGGCCUAGGGCGAAACUGGUGAUUGGGGCUAAGUCGUAACAAGGUAGCCGUACCGGAAGGUGCGGCUGGAACACCUCCUU